AAGACGGUAGGCGCUGAGAGAGGGCCUCAGAGGGCAGACAGACUGAAGCCACAAUCACAGACAACUAGUCAGUCCAAUCACACAGUAAUCUUUAGGCUGCUUCAAUAAAAGCUUUCACUGAUGGAGGAAAAUGGAUAUUUUGGUAAAACAGCAUCCUUUUAAAAUUGAGCCUUCUUUUCAUGAUGAAAAUCUAUUCUGUUCUGUACAUUUUCAGGAUGGAGAUCAUAAAGGAUCAUUUCAGCUUCUUUGAUUAAGUACCACCAUUGGCAAGAAGCUUGGCAUGUGAGGCCACUGAAGUUUUAUGUUUCAUUAAAUGCUAAAAUGAAACCAAAGUAUAUUCAUGUUGCUUAGUUACUUUAAACUAAUGCCAUGCACCUGUCUUGCCUCUCCUGCCUUCCCUCUCUGCACUGCUGACAAUUAGUGUCUUCUCUAUACCUGAUUAUACAUGAUUGUGAGCAGCCAGACCAAAACCUCUGUGGCCAAGAACAAGGGCUAGCUUUCUCAUUAGAAUCUGUUGAAAAGAAUAUUUUCAACUUGUUGGAAAUCAAUUGACUGCAAAAGAAUCACUUGAUCUCCUGAUGCCUGUGAUGUUUCCUCUGCAAAGCAGGAAAAGAACCCUGCACCCCAAUUUGUGCAGCAUCAUUUUGACAGAGAAAGGAGAUGACAGCAAGGGAAUUCCAUCUUGGCCUGCUAAAAACAUAGAAAGUCCAUCCUUCCUUUGAGGCAGACUUUAGAUAGGUAUCCCAAUUCAGAGACUUUUCCAAACUAGGAAGAAUGGCAAGGCAGUUGAGUACAUAGGCUCUACCACAGGGCAAUUAUGUGCAUUGCUUUCUACUCCAGGCUUAGCCAACUUAGCUUCUUAUUGGAUAGGUACCUUCAAACAAGUUAUUUUAGUCAUUCAGAACUUAUUCCCCCUCUUUAAAACGUGGUCUUUAAAAUCACCUUUAUAAUGAUGCAAACAUGGUAGAAUUAAAUGAACUAAAAAAUAAUAUACUUAAAAUAGGAGCUAGAACAUAGUAAGUGCUAUAAACAUUAUAGUUACAUGCUGACCUGUAGGACUUCUGCGUUUGAACGUCCAGAAAUCUCUAUUUAUACCUCUGUAGCAGUAUUUAUCUUUGUUUCAAAAUAGUGUUUUGAUUUAUAUUAUAGCUAUUCUUGUCCUUGCCUUAUUUUUCCCACUAGAUUUAAUGAAGUUCUUGAGGGCAGGAACUGUUUCAUUCAGUUUUGAUUCCCUAAACACUUAGGCCUGCUUCAUAGUAGCUGCUUAAAAGUAUUUACUGAAUGGUGUUGAAAAGUCAAAAAUACAUGUAAAGUGUAUAACAUAUAAUGAAAUUAA